AAGAUUAUACUUUCAGGGAUUAUUUCCAUAGUUCAUUACUAAAGAAGUUUCUCCAAAUGUGUAGAGCACUAGAAACCAUAGAGAAGACACAGGCACAGCAUUAUUUCCCAGCCAGCUCUUGGUGUUGCCUCCCUGCAACUGCCAUUUGUCAUUGAUGAUGAUUAUUUUCUUCUUCUGAGAGAGUAAGAGGGAGAGGACACAGUCUGAGUGGU
rnacentral:snoRNA from 1 species